AUCGCUUGACGAAGGUAAAACAAGCAUCGUUACCGUCCGUGUUACCCGGAAAUGGGAAGAGUUGGACUUCAUGUCGACCAACGACGUUACCAGCAUUGAUAUGGUUAUUGUUGACGAGCAGGGUGAAGAGUUACACGCCGUCAUACCCAAAAAUCUUAUUUGGAAGUUUGAUAAGCUGAUUCGGGAGGGGGGUCUGUACUCUAUGCAGAAACUACACUUGCCCACUGCUAAACCGAAGUUCCGUCCUGCGCACAAUGAGAAGCGGGCCUUCUUCCGGAGCACCACCUCCAUCACUGCUAAACCGUUCAUAAAAUGCUCAUUGCAACGGGGGUAAUAUCGGCUCCCCCUCUCGAACAAGUUCCAGACCAAAUCAUUUGAUAUGGCGUCCCAAGUGACAUGCAGGCCACAUCGAGGUAGGUUCCUUGGCAAAACAGGACAGCUUCAAGAGCUUAUAGGCCCUUGGCGAAGGUAAACCGUGCGUCGUUACAGUUCCAGUGUCUAGGAAAUGGUAGAGUUGGACUAUAUGUCUAUUAUAACCAGUGUAAUUAUUGUUAUUGUUGACAAACAGGUGUGAUCAUUUCCACUCUGGGAUCCAUUUGAUAUUCGAUUCUCCUCUGUUACUUUAAUUUUUAACACAUUCUUUGAUACAGAGAGAAGAUUUACAAGACAUUAUCUAAAGGAAUCUUAUCUGAAAAUUUGAUAAUCAGGUCCACGAGAGGAGUAUGUACUCUAUGGAGAAGUUAUAGUUGUUCACUGCCGAACCCAAAUACAUCACUUUAUUUUCACAAGUUCCAUUCGCUCCGGUCACUUUUCGGUAGAUCUUAAGUUCUCAACACUAUAACUUCCAAUUUAAGCUCCGGUCUGUGUUAUAAUUAAUCUCUUUAGAUUGGAAGUGUGAGUGUUAUGUGCCUUUACUAUGAAUCCUUUUGGAAGUUUCCUAUCUUUGGUUAGGACUGAUUCAGUUUUCAUAUAAUAUUAGUGAUAUGUCUAGAUUUGAUUGUUGCAUGGCAGAUAGCUGACCCAAUGAUAGCUAAAUUUCAAGUCUAUUUUACUAGACGAGGCGAGCUUGCUUAGUAUCAAGUAAUUAACUUAUUUUUUCUAAUGUCAUGAUAAGUUUUUUGUCUAAUUUUUUCUUUGAUAAAUCUGCAGCAAAAAUCGCAUAUGUUUUCAUGUUUAACUGCAAAGUUGGGGGAAUCCUAUGCUGCAGACCUGCAGUCUACAUGACCAACCAAGGUGACAACAAUGUGGCACAUCAUGUAGCCAUAUCAACUUCACCUCAUCUA